rnacentral:lncRNA from 1 species
GGGAGGAUGUGGAAAUAGGUGAAAACUCUCCGACCCCGACGGGCAGCCUAGUACCCGCAAGCGGCUUUCUUCCAACGGACGCCCCCAGAGGAUCCACACACAUCUAGGGCAGGAGCGAGAACACAACAGAGGAGCGACGGUGGAAACAGGUGACCAGAACCCUACUUAAACCCCCCGCAAUUACUCCUAAACGCAGAGGGAAACUUUGGAGGUGCACACCUGAGCCCGCGGGGAGAGUCUCUCCCCGCCAUUGGCGGGGAGACCCGGCCUGGUGCUCGGGGCGCCCGGAGGGUCCCAGAGAGAGACACGGAGGGCACGGAGGUCUCCCAGCUGCCGUUGCCCGCCCCGUGGGACUAGGGAUUGCCGGAGAUCUCGGAGAGGACCGGGGCGGGGGAACUUUCAAAGGCGGGUCCGGCGACCCGGUGGGGAAGCGCCGGAGCUCCGCCAGGCAGCAGACAAAACUCUCUGUCUGCCGGUAGCAGAGGGGCCACGCUGAGCACUCAGGGCUCCCGGCAGAGGCCCGGAGAGAAGCCCAGAGGGCGGGGCGACCCCCAGCUGCCGUUGCCCGCCCCGUGGGACUAGGGAUUGCCGGAGAUCUCGGAGAGGACCGGGGCGGGGGAACUUUCAAAGGCCGGAUCGGCGACCCGGAGGGGAAGCGCCGGAGCUCCGCCAGGCAGCAGACAAAACUCUCUGUCUGCCGGUAGCAGAGGGGCCACGCUGAGCACUCAGGGCUCCCGGCAGAGGCCCGGAGAGAAGCCCAGAGGGCGGGGCGACCCCCAGCUGCCGUUGCCCACCCGGUGAGGCUAGGGAUUGCCGGAGAUCUCGGAGAGGACUGGGGCUGGAGAGAGUUCCAGAGACCCAGCUUAGUAGCCUAGGGGGAAACCCUACAGGCUCACAGAAGCCUUAGGGAAAGCCUCUGCACAGCACCAGUAGAAGGCACCCAGCCGCCAGCCACAAGGCUGGAAGACCCCAGGGCAAAAGCAGCAUAGCUAGGUGUACUAACC